UGGAGGGCUAUACAUGCAGUCGAACGCGUUGGCCCAAUUGAUUGAUGGUGCUUGCACCUGAUUGAUUUUGGUCGCCAACGAGUGGCGGACGGGUGAGUAACACGUAGGUAACCUGCCCAGAAGCGGGGGACAACAUUUGGAAACAGAUGCUAAUACCGCAUAACAGCGUUGUUCGCAUGAACAACGCUUAAAAGAUGGCUUCUCGCUAUCACUUCUGGAUGGACCUGCGGUGCAUUAGCUUGUUGGUGGGGUAACGGCCUACCAAGGCGAUGAUGCAUAGCCGAGUUGAGAGACUGAUCGGCCACAAUGGGACUGAGACACGGCCCAUACUCCUACGGGAGGCAGCAGUAGGGAAUCUUCCACAAUGGGCGCAAGCCUGAUGGAGCAACACCGCGUGAGUGAAGAAGGGUUUCGGCUCGUAAAGCUCUGUUGUUAAAGAAGAACACGUAUGAGAGUAACUGUUCAUACGUUGACGGUAUUUAACCAGAAAGUCACGGCUAACUACGUGCCAGCAGCCGCGGUAAUACGUAGGUGGCAAGCGUUAUCCGGAUUUAUUGGGCGUAAAGAGAGUGCAGGCGGUUUUCUAAGUCUGAUGUGAAAGCCUUCGGCUUAACCGGAGAAGUGCAUCGGAAACUGGAUAACUUGAGUGCAGAAGAGGGUAGUGGAACUCCAUGUGUAGCGGUGGAAUGCGUAGAUAUAUGGAAGAACACCAGUGGCGAAGGCGGCUACCUGGUCUGCAACUGACGCUGAGACUCGAAAGCAUGGGUAGCGAACAGGAUUAGAUACCCUGGUAGUCCAUGCCGUAAACGAUGAGUGCUAGGUGUUGGAGGGUUUCCGCCCUUCAGUGCCGGAGCUAACGCAUUAAGCACUCCGCCUGGGGAGUACGACCGCAAGGUUGAAACUCAAAGGAAUUGACGGGGGCCCGCACAAGCGGUGGAGCAUGUGGUUUAAUUCGAAGCUACGCGAAGAACCUUACCAGGUCUUGACAUCUUGCGCCAACCCUAGAGAUAGGGCGUUUCCUUCGGGAACGCAAUGACAGGUGGUGCAUGGUCGUCGUCAGCUCGUGUCGUGAGAUGUUGGGUUAAGUCCCGCAACGAGCGCAACCCUUGUUACUAGUUGCCAGCAUUAAGUUGGGCACUCUAGUGAGACUGCCGGUGACAAACCGGAGGAAGGUGGGGACGACGUCAGAUCAUCAUGCCCCUUAUGACCUGGGCUACACACGUGCUACAAUGGACGGUACAACGAGUCGCGAACUCGCGAGGGCAAGCAAAUCUCUUAAAACCGUUCUCAGUUCGGACUGCAGGCUGCAACUCGCCUGCACGAAGUCGGAAUCGCUAGUAAUCGCGGAUCAGCAUGCCGCGGUGAAUACGUUCCCGGGCCUUGUACACACCGCCCGUCACACCAUGAGAGUUUGUAACACCCAAAGUCGGUGGGGUAACCUUUUAGGAGCCAGCCGCCUAAGGUGGGACAGAUGAUUAGGGUGAAGUCGUAAUCAAAAGUAGUCCCUGGGUCCCC
rnacentral:rRNA from 1 species